rnacentral:rRNA from 1 species
CAUGCAAGUCGAGCGGUAACAGGCUCUCACUAUUUACUUGAUUUAUAUCGAGUGAAGAGUGAGAGUGCUGACGAGCGGCGGACGGCUGAGUAACGCGUAGGAACGUACCCCAAAGUGAGGGAUAAGCACCAGAAAUGGUGUCUAAUACCGCAUGUGGUCUUCGGAUUAAAGCUUCGGCGCUUUGGGAACGGCCUGCGUAUGAUUAGCUUGUUGGUGAGGUAAUAGCUCACCAAGGCGACGAUCAUUAGCUGGUUUGAGAGGAUGAUCAGCCAGACUGGGACUGAGACACGGCCCAGACUCCUACGGGAGGCAGCAGUAGGGAAUUUUCCACAAUGGGCGAAAGCCUGAUGGAGCAACGCCGCGUGCAGGAUGAAGGCUUUCGGGUCGUAAACUGCUUUUAUAAGUGAAGAUUAUGACGGUAACUUAUGAAUAAGGAUCGGCUAACUCCGUGCCAGCAGCCGCGGUCAUACGGAGGAUCCAAGCGUUAUCCGGAAUUACUGGGCGUAAAGAGUUGCGUAGGUGGCAUAGUAAGUAGAUAGUGAAAGCGUGUGGCUCAACCAUACAUCCAUUAUCUAAACUGCUAAGCUAGAGGAUGAGAGAGGUAGAUGGAAUUUCUAAUGUAGGGGUAAUAUCCGUAGAUAUUAGAAAGGAACACCGAUGGCGUANGCAGUCUACUGGCUCAUUCCUGACACUA